rnacentral:rRNA from 1 species
GAAUAUUGGACAAUGGGGGCAACCCUGAUCCAGCCAUGCCGCGUGAGUGAAGAAGGCCUUAGGGUCGUAAAGCUCUUUCGCCAGGGAUGAUAAUGACAGUACCUGGUAAAGAAACCCCGGCUAACUCCGUGCCAGCAGCCGCGGUAAUACGGAGGGGGUUAGCGUUGUUCGGAAUUACUGGGCGUAAAGCGCGCGUAGGCGGAUUGGUAAGUUGGGGGUGAAAUCCCGGGGCUCAACCCCGGAACUGCCUCCAAAACUCCCAGUCUUGAGUUCGAGAGAGGUGAGUGGAAUUCCGAGUGUAGAGGUGAAAUUCGUAGAUAUUCGGAGGAACACCAGUGGCAAAGGCGGCUCACUGGCUCGAUACUGACGCUGAGGUGCGAAAGCGUGGGGAGCAAACAGG